UAUCCCGAAGCCUGCCUACGGAGAUGGCCGAGUUGUCACGAUCGUUCCUCGUUGCCCAAUUGAAACUUCCCGGCUUGACUCGGAAUAGGGUCGGCCAUUUUGAUAAUAUUUAUGGAGUAGCAGAACAGAAUUUGAGAUGACCUUGCCUGGAAGAAAAGCAUCACAAAAAGAUAUUGCCCUUCACUGGGGUGGGAAAAAAGAUCCAAAAGGCUUUGCAAUAAAAUUUUAUGGUUUUAAAGAUGAACAACCAGCAGACGCAGAAUCCUCCAACUGGUAUACUAUCAAGUGAAGUGACUCAGACUUACCCUGCAGACCAACUAGCAGAAGCAGUAUCCUCCAAAAUGGUAUACUAUUGAGUGAAGCGCCCAGACUUACCCUGCAGGGCAACAAGCAGAAUCAGUAUCCUCCAAACCUGUAUAUGAUUGAGUGAAGUGACCCAGACCUACCCCGCAGAGCAACCAGCAGACGCAGAAUCCUCCAACUGGUAUACUAUCAGGUGAAGUGACUCAGACUUACCCUGCAGACCAACUAGCAGAAGCAGUAUCCUCCAAAAUGGUAUACUAUUGAGUGAAGCGCCCAGACUUACCCUGCAGGGCAACAAGCAGAAUCAGUAUCCUCCAAACCUGUAUAUGAUUGAGUGAAGUGACCCAGACCUACCCCGCAGAGCAACCAGCAGAAGCAGAAUCCUCCAAAAUGGUAUACGAUGGAGUGAAGCGAUCCAGAAUUACCCAGUCCCCAAAGAUGAUGAUGGCGAUAACUCGAUAAGAGAUCCAACUUUGAUGGAAACUGUAAUAGGGGAGAGACCAGCAUAGAUGGUGAACCAAUAUCAAAGGAUUCUACACAAUAAAAGAAACAAAGGUGGUCUGAAGAAGAAAACAAGAUCUUCAUACCAAUCUUUAAAGCAUGUCUAACGGACAAACACAUACCAACUCUUACCGCAUAAGGCUUGCAGCUGGGAAAAUACCUGAAAGGACAAUAGCUCAAAUAAAGAAGAGAGUUCACAACAGGCAAACAAGCUUGGUCAUUGAAAUUGUGUUAAAAGUUUGGUCUCCAGGCUACUUAGUUGAGAUGUCUAGGGUCAUCAACACCUUUUUUCUUUUAAAGGGACUGUACACCAGAUUGGCACCAAUUUUCGUAACGAAUCUCAGGACAAUUAUCUAAUAGAAUGUGUUACCCUUCGAUACCAUAAUUGUAAAAAAAUGUACCAAAAUGUAAAAAAAAAAAUGUGUAGGAGACCGGGUUCGAACAAGUGUCGCCAAAAUUGAAGUCCAGCGUCGUAUUCACUGAGCUACGAUGGCUUAUUUUAAUCAGGUGACAUAAGUAAGCUAAACAAUUAACUCUGUAAUAUCAGGUGAUAACACCGACUAGCCAAUCAAGCAUAAGGAAUGAAUUUUACUAGGUAGAUAUACCCAGUAAUCUUUUUUAAUGGAAAAAUACCUAAUAACUGCUAAACUUGAAUAAAUUGUAAACUAUGUAGUACUUCAGUUAGUAAGUUUCAAUACAUUGUACACAUUAAUACCAAAUUUGUGACAGUCUUCGACAAUCAUUAUUGUCUUUUUUUCUUGCAAAUUGAUGAUCUGGUGCACAGUUGCUUUGAAACUGAACAUGAAUUGUUCAUUAAGCUUCUGUGUUAUAAACAUGAUCUAAAGACAUUUGAUAUUUUAAUGCCCCCACUUAUCAGGAUAAUGGAUUACCUGUGAAUAGACUUAGUUUGGUUGGAAAUUAUUAAGAACUGCUGUGAUCAUUUCCUGAGGUCACAUGAGGCAAGAGGGGGCAUCCGGGUCAUAUCGACACAAUUCUAGUUACUUUCACAAGAUGUUUUACUUAAAGCUGCACUCUUACAGAUAUAAUGUUUUUUACAACUUUUUUUAUUUUUUGUCUUGGAAUGAGUUUUUUUUGCGUAAAUACAAUGUAUCUGCAAACCAGCAUUAAAAGACUGAUGACAAAAGAUGAGUUUGCAGGUUUUCAUAUUUUAUCUCCAAAACUGAUGUUUUAUGCAUUUUUUUUAAACCAUUAGUACAUGCUGAAUUUGCUUGUUGUAAAUGUUACUUCUACAGUUUAAAAGGAUUUUGUUGAAAAUUGCAUACCAGGGGUUAGUUGUCAGAUGUUUGUGCUUUUUGCUCCAUUUUUGAAAUUAUAUAAUUGCUUGAUUAUAAUCAGAAGUCUGUAAAUUCAUCAACAGAUGCCAGAAAAUCAAGAUUUUUAUUCUACUGGGCACCCUAGGUUCAGUGUGAAAUAGUUUUGUAAAAUACAUAUGGGUACUUACAAAAACUUUUAUUGAAUUUUGUACGUCAGACAACAUUUCCUCUUCUGUUGGAUAUAAGCAGAAAGAAAUGUUUGGGAAAUAUACCUGUUGAAUUGGAACUUUACCACCUAAGUGUACCUCAUCCUGAUCUCCUUAGGCUUAAGUUAAAUAAUUUCAUGCCAGUUUUUUUUUAAUUUUCGGAUUAAAAAAAAACCAACUCAAAUUUUGAAAAUAUCCUGAUGAAAGAACUACCCCACUACUAGUAGACAAUCAGUCAGUGUUGUAAGUAACAGUUUGAAUUUUCAUUCAGUCAUUUUUUCAUAUAUAUGUACUUAUAUAAUAAGGAAAUCUUGUGAAAGCAACUUCUCAAGUUUAUGAAGAAUUUUGUUGAAGCUUGUCCACACUAUCAGUCAUUAUAUGUAUUUGAGCUGCAUUUUCUGUUGGACUCUUCGAUCAGGGGUUACAACCCUUUGUUAUUUGCUUUAUACAUUCUUGUGUAGGCAACCCUUCCCACUUUGUUUAAACAUGCUUAUAUGCUUAAACAUGCUUAUUAGACUUUGAACAGAACAUGGCAUGUGCAUCAGGGAACAGAUUCCCGAUUCUGAUUUUAUAUUGAAUUUGUGAUAUACAACUCUCAAAAAAGUAUUAGCGGGACCAUUUUUGGUGCUCUUUUUGAAACUUAAUAAGAGUGUUUGUAAAAUCUAGGUCAAGUACAUUAUUCCAUGAACUGAGGUGGAAAAAAAUAUAUAUUCGAAGACUUGACAGGUCUCAUUUUUGUGUGAUCUUUAAUAAAUUGGUGACAAAAAACUUCGUAGGAAAGUUCAGGCCAUGGCCAUUAUAUUUUGUUGCAUUUUUGUUUGCUUGAAUGUAUGGAAGGAGAGCUACCGGUAUUCUCACAUUUAAGAUGCUUUCUCAGUAAAUACUUAAUGUAAUGCAUUGAAACUUUAGACAAGUGUUCACGUGCAUCAGGACAGAUAACUAUUUUUUGCUUAUAAUGCAAGUAACUGUCCCAUUAUUAUUCAUUUAAAAAAUCUGAUUAAGAUUUUCUUGUUAAGAUUACAUUAAUUUCAAUCUGGUAUGGUUUUUUGUUAACUGUAAAUGUUCUUGAUUGAUUAAUCAAAAUUGAAAUCAAUGCAGGCAUCAUUUUCAUCCAAUUUUAUAUUGAUCUAAAACAGUUUUACAAAAUAUUUCGAUAAUUAUUUUCAGAAGUUGCUGAAAAGUAGAGCAUGCUCUUGUUUUGUUCAUUGUUCCCGUGUCGUCUGAGACACAAAGAAAAAAACUUAAACAUAAAUGUAUGUGGUUAAAUAUAAGUUGUAUAUUUCA